rnacentral:rRNA from 1 species
UACGUAGGUCCCGAGCGUUGUCCGGAUUUAUUGGGCGUAAAGCGAGCGCAGGUGGUUUAUUAAGUCUGGUGUAAAAGGCAGUGGCUCAACCAUUGUAUGCAUUGGAAACUGGUAGACUUGAGUGCAGGAGAGGAGAAUGGAAUUCCUAGUGUAGCGGUGAAAUGCGUAGAGAUUAGGAAGAACACCAGUGGCAAAGGCGAUUCUCUGGACUGUAACUGACGCUGAGGCUCGAAAGCGUGGGGAGCAAACAGG